rnacentral:rRNA from 1 species
AACGAACGCUGGCGGCAUGCCUAACACAUGCAAGUCGAACGAGACCUUCGGGUCUAGUGGCGCACGGGUGCGUAACGCGUGGGAACCUGCCCUUAGGUUCGGAAUAACUCCCCGAAAGGGGUGCUAAUACCGGACAACGUCUCCGGACCAAAGAUUUAUCGCCUUUGGAUGGGCCCGCGUUGGAUUAGCUAGUUGGUAGGGUAAAAGCCUACCAAGGCGACGAUCCAUAGCUGGUCUGAGAGGAUGAUCAGCCACACUGGGACUGAGACACGGCCCAGACUCCUACGGGAGGCAGCAGUGGGGAAUAUUGGACAAUGGGCGAAAGCCUGAUCCAGCAAUGCCGCGUGAGUGAUGAAGGCCUUAGGGUUGUAAAGCUCUUUUACCCGGGAUGAUAAUGACAGUACCGGGAGAAUAAGCUCCGGCUAACUCCGUG